AUUGAACGCUGGCGGCAUGCCUUACACAUGCAAGACGAACGGCAGCACGGGGCAACCUGGUGGCGAGUGGCGAACGGGUGAGUAAUGCAUCGGAACGUGCCAUUGAGUGGGGGAUAACGUAGCGAAAGUUGCGCUAAUACCGCAUAUUCUGUGAGCAGGAAAGCAGGGGACCGCAAGGCCUUGCGCUCUUUGAGCGGCCGAUGUCAGAUUAGCUAGUUGGUGAGGUAACGGCUUACCAAGGCGACGAUCUGUAGCGGGUCUGAGAGGAUGAUCCGCCACACUGGAACUGAGACACGGUCCAGACUCCUACGGGAGGCAGCAGUGGGGAAUUUUGGACAAUGGGCGCAAGCCUGAUCCAGCCAUGCCGCGUGAGUGAAGAAGGCCUCGG
rnacentral:rRNA from 1 species